rnacentral:rRNA from 1 species
AUUGAACGCUGGCGGCAGGCCUAACACAUGCAAGUCGAGCGGCAGCGGGAAAGUAGCUUGCUACUUUUGCCGGCGAGCGGCGGACGGGUGAGUAAUGCCUGGGAAAUUGCCCAGUCGAGGGGGAUAACAGUUGGAAACGACUGCUAAUACCGCAUACGCCCUACGGGGGAAAGCAGGGGACCUUCGGGCCUUGCGCGAUUGGAUAUGCCCAGGUGGGAUUAGCUAGUUGGUGAGGUAAUGGCUCACCAAGGCGACGAUCCCUAGCUGGUCUGAGAGGAUGAUCAGCCACACUGGAACUGAGACACGGUCCAGACUCCUACGGGAGGCAGCAGUGGGGAAUAUUGCACAAUGGGGGAAACCCUGAUGCAGCCAUGCCGCGUGUGUGAAGAAGGCCUUCGGGUUGUAAAGCACUUUCAGCGGGGAGGAAAGGUUGAUGCCUAAUACGUAUCAACUGUGACGUUACUCGCAGAGGAAGCACCGGCUAACUCCGUGCCAGCAGCCGCUGUAAUAC